UACGUAGGGUGCAAGCGUUGUCCGGAAUUAUUGGGCGUAAAGGGCUCGUAGGCGGUCUGUCGCGUCGGGAGUGAAAACUCGGGGCUUAACUCCGGGCCUGCAGUGGGUACGGGCUGGCUAGAGGCAGGCAGGGGAGAACGGAAUUCCUGGUGUAGCGGUGAAAUGCGCAGAUAUCAGGAAGAACACCCGUGGCGAAGGCGGCUCUCUGGAACGCAACUGACGCUGAGACGCGAAAGCGUGGGGAGCAAACAGG
rnacentral:rRNA from 1 species